rnacentral:rRNA from 1 species
CACAAUAAUUUGUCUUUUAAUUGAAGAAUGGUAUGAAAGGGUUAACGUGGGAUAAGCUGUGUCAAAAUAACAUAUUGAAACUAAUUUUUACGUGAAGAAGCGUGAAUUCUUUAGAGUGACGAUGAGACCCUAUGAAGUUUGACCUGAAGUUGUCUCAUUUACCAAUAAGUUAGAGCACAUGUGCUCAGCAGAUUUAAGGUGGACUAUAACGGUUUUGGUGGGGCCCCAGUCUUAGUAGGUGUAAGAUAGUACGCAGUUUUUGCGUUUUACAGGGCUUUGUUGCUCUAUAAGUUAAGUUCUCACUUGAGUAAAUCUAUACUUUAUAAAUUUGAUAAACUACUCUAGGGAUAACAGCACAAUCCUCUUCGAUAGAAGCUAUUGAAAAGGGGGU